rnacentral:rRNA from 1 species
CCUACGGGUGGCAGCAGUGAGGAAUAUUGGUCAAUGGACGAGAGUCUGAACCAGCCAAGUAGCGUGAAGGAUGACUGCUUUAUGGGUUGUAAACUUCUUUCACAUGGGAAUAAAAUGUUCCACGUGCGGGAUUUUGGAUGUACUUUAUGAAUAAGGAUCGGCUAACUCCGUGCCAGCAGCCGCGGUAAUACGGAGGAUCCGAGCGUUAUCCGGAUUUAUUGGGUUUAAAGGGAGCGUAGAUGGGUUGUUAAGUCAGAUGUGAAAGUUUGCGGCUCAACCGUAAAAUUUCAAUUGAUACUGGCAGUCUUGAGUACAGUUGAGGUAGGCGGAAUUCGUGGUGUAGCGGUGAAAUGCUUAGAUAUCACGAAGAACCCCGAUUGCGAAGGCAGCUUACUAAACUGUGACUGACAUUGAUGCUCGAAAGUGUGGGUAUCAAACAGGAUUGGAUACCCGAGUAGUC